rnacentral:lncRNA from 1 species
GUUUUUGACGAAUUCGCAAAGGGGUUUGUACACGGGAAUUUCUUGAAAUUAUCCCUGGGCAGUUUCUUUUGAUAUCUUCACAUAACUGGGUCCCUAUGGAUAUAUGAAAUUGGUCACGACCAUAUUUGGGGCAGUCAGGACUGAAUCGGAGUAGAUAUACUGAAGUUCGAGUUUUGACGAAUUUUCAAAGAAGGGAAUUUCUUGAAAAUAUCAGCGGGCAGAUAUUUUUGAUAUUUUCACAUAAAUGAGUUCCUAUGGAUAUAUGAAUUUUGUCACGACCAUAUUUG